CCUGCUGGGCGCCGGGAAGGAGGCGGCGCAGGGAGGCCCUGGCCUGGGCCUGGAGCCUGCAGACCAGGCCGCUCCCCGGCUCCCUGCCCGCCCCCCCACCACCACCGGGCUGCCCGGCCGCCGGGGGAUCCCCAAGUCCCUAAAGGCCCCAGGGUCCCUCGGUCCACCUGGGGUAAAACGAAGAGGGUGGCGAGUCCUAACUUCAGGAGAGCAACUUCCAUAGGGCCCCUGCAUAGACAGGAGGCUGUCACCCUCUCCGGCCACCGGGAGCGAGCCGUCGGGCUCCCGUCUCCUGCCCGCGCCUCCCCGGGGAGGGGUCUGCCAGGUCCCCGCGUGGAGGCAGCGCCUGCCUCCGUGAGUCGUGACUCGGCACCGACUGGGGCGGGUGUGGGACAGGACGGAGCGACGAGAGAGGGGAAGGGAGAGGAAAACAUCGAUGACGAGAGAGCAUCACGGAUGGGCUACGCCCCGCACUGGGGAUGAGCCCCCCACCAGCGUGUGCCCUGACCCGGCAGGGAAGCGGGCCCUUCAGUCCCGGGCUGACGCUCGGUCCUCGGAGCCGCGCCGGCUGGGGCUCGGCUGCAUUUCGGUGAAUGUGUCUCUGCCUACAGGGGCCGCUUCCCCACCUCGGACCGCCCAGGCCCCAAGCUCCGCCCAACGCACUGUCUUAAAAUUGUUAGUAAUUUUGAAGAAGGAGCCCCACGUUUUCGUGUUGCACUGGGCCCUGCACAUGUUGUGGCUGACCUCGCCCUUGAUUGUAAAAAAAGUUAUGAAAACAUCCAAGAGGCGAAAAUCUAUGUGUUUUUUUCUUUUUUUUUAAGUAGGUUCUUGGUGGUGGUG